rnacentral:rRNA from 1 species
CAAACCAAAGCUGGCGACCGGCGCACGGGUGAGUAACACGUAUCCAACCUGCCUCAUACUCGGGGAUAGCCUUUCGAAAGAAAGAUUAAUAUCCGAUAGCAUAUAUUUCCCGCAUGGGUUUUAUAUUAAAGAAAUUCGGUAUGAGAUGGGGAUGCGUUCCAUUAGUUUGUUGGGGGGGUAACGGCCCACCAAGACUACGAUGGAUAGGGGUUCUGAGAGGAAGGUCCCCCACAUUGGAACUGAGAUACGGUCCAA